GACUGUGGGAGGGGACCAGCGUUCGGGAGCCUUUCAUAGCCCGUCCUCGGUGCAAGGAAUACAAGGUGGUGUCAGUGACCAGAGAUUAGGACAGUGGAAUUUUGCAUUUGUUACAGCAGCAGCUGUAGCGAGUGGUUUCAGCCGCAGGGCAGAGUCCGCGAGCAGGGCGCGGCUGCAGCUCGGCAGGCGGGCGGAGAAGAGCGCGGGGGCGAUCGCGGGGCGGGCGUGGGAGCGGGGCCCGCCGAGGCGGGGCGGGACUCGAGACCACAGCCCCGGACCUCACAAGCGGAUGCCGGGGCUUCUCCUGGCUGCCCCAGCGCCCGCGGAUCUGUCUGCCGAGGCGCGCUUCCACUCCCAGAGUUUAUUCCUCGUUCCUUCUUCAGUCCUGCUCGUCGGAGGACCCGGUUGCCAUGGUGAAGGAAAAAGUGGCCCACCCUCAGGACCCUCACCACCCAUCAGAGAAGCCUGUCAUUCACUGCCAUAAAUGUGGGGAGCCUUGCAAGGGUGAAGUGCUUCGGGUCCAGACCAAACAUUUCCACAUCAAGUGUUUCACCUGCAAAGUGUGUGGCUGUGACCUGGCACAAGGGGGCUUCUUCAUAAAGAACGGAGAGUAUCUCUGCACCCUGGACUACCAGCGGAUGUACGGGACACGCUGCCAUGGCUGUGGGGAGUUCGUGGAGGGCGAAGUGGUGACCGCUCUGGGCAAGACCUACCAUCCCAAUUGCUUUGCUUGUACUAUCUGCAAGCGCCCGUUUCCACCCGGAGACCGAGUCACAUUCAAUGGGAGAGACUGCCUUUGUCAACUCUGUGCACAGCCGAUGUCGUCCAGUCCAAAAGAAACCACCUUCUCCAGCAAUUGUGCCGGCUGCGGAAGAGAUAUCAAGAAUGGGCAGGCACUGCUGGCACUGGAUAAGCAGUGGCACUUGGGGUGCUUUAAAUGCAAGUCCUGCGGGAAGGUCCUCACCGGGGAGUACAUCAGCAAGGAUGGUGCCCCGUACUGUGAAAAGGACUACCAGGGACUCUUUGGGGUGAAAUGUGAGGCAUGUCACCAGUUUAUCACAGGGAAAGUCCUGGAGGCAGGUGACAAACAUUACCACCCCAGCUGUGCACGAUGCAGCAGAUGCAACCAGAUGUUCACAGAAGGAGAGGAAAUGUAUCUUCAAGGCUCCACCGUUUGGCAUCCCGACUGUAAGCAAUCUACGAAGACCGAGGAAAAGCUGCGGCCGCCAAACAUUCGGCGUUCUUCAUCUGAUUUCUUUUAUCCCAAAAGUCUGAUUCGACGCACAGGACGGUCUCCGUCUCUGCAGCCUACCAGGACAUCCUCGGAAAGUAUUUAUUCUAGACCAGGCUCCAGUAUUCCUGGCUCACCAGGUCAUACUAUCUAUGCAAAAGUAGACAAUGAGAUCCUGGAUUACAAGGAUUUAGCAGCCAUUCCCAAGGUCAAGGCAAUUUAUGACAUUGAACGUCCAGAUCUUAUUACCUAUGAGCCUUUCUACACUUCGGGUUAUGAUGACAAACAGGAGAGACAGAGCCUCGGAGAGUCUCCGAGGACUUUGUCGCCUACUCCAUCAGCAGAAGGGUACCAGGAUGUUCGGGAUCGGAUGAUCCAACGGUCCACGAGCCAGGGCUCCAUCAACUCCCCUGUGUACAGCCGCCACAGCUACACUCCAACCACGUCGCGCUCUCCCCAGCAUUUCCACAGACCUGGCAAUGAGCCGUCCAGCGGCCGGAACUCCCCUCUCCCUUACCGGCCAGACAGCCGCCCUCUAACUCCAACUUACGCUCAGGCCCCUAAACAUUUCCAUGUUCCAGAUCAAGGAAUCAACAUUUACCGAAAACCACCCAUCUACAAACAGCAUGAUGCAGCUGCCUUGGCAGCCCAGAGCAAGUCCUCAGAAGAUAUCAUCAAGUUUUCCAAGUUCCCAGCAGCCCAGGCACCAGACCCCAGCGAGACACCAAAGAUUGAGACGGACCACUGGCCUGGUCCCCCCUCAUUUGCUGCCGUAGGACCUGACAUGAAACGCAGAUCUAGUGGCAGAGAGGAAGAUGAUGAGGAACUUCUGAGACGCCGGCAGCUUCAAGAAGAGCAAUUAAUGAAGCUUAACUCAGGCCUGGGACAGUUGAUAUUGAAAGAAGAGAUGGAGAAAGAGAGCCGGGAAAGGUCAUCUCUGUUAGCCAGUCGCUAUGAUUCGCCCAUCAACUCAGCUUCACAUAUUCCAUCAUCUAAAACUGCAUCUCUCCCUGGCUAUGGAAGAAAUGGGCUUCACCGGCCUGUUUCUACCGACUUCGCUCAGUAUAACAGCUAUGGGGAUGUCAGCGGGGGAGUGCGAGAUUACCAGGUACGGAACACUUUGUCUUUCUUGAAUUGGCCACGCCAGCAGAACAGCCAUGUUCCAACACAGACUGCUGGCUCCAAGGCAACAGCUUCUGUUGAGAAGAUACUUGUUGUGGUUGAUCUGUCUAGUCAUUACUCUAUAGCCGUGAAGAGCAGGCAUGCCUGGUGCCUGGGUCAAGCUGUCCCUGCAGACCUUGGGGACACUGUGUGAACCAGGCCAGGUAUAGGGGGUCUCUCUUGCUUUGGCCUUGGAGAGUCCUCUCUGGGGUGGAAGUGGACCAGCAUCAAGGGUCUGCUCAUAUACAGUUUUUCUUCUUUUAAUUAUAAUCUCUCAGUACUUUAGGCCACCCUUUUCCUGCGUGUUCUCAAAUGAAAAGACACUGAUGUCUUAGCCAAUAGGAGAGAGCAGUUUGCCCUCAUGACAUUCCUUUCUCACUAGAACCUAAAUCUUGUUUAAAAAAAGAAAGAAAUGUGAUGGAGAAUAAGAAAAGAAGAAAAAUGCAUAGAAAAUCAUGAUUAAAGAUAAGAAACUAACAAUAAUAGAUUUGGGCAUCUUUUAAAGGUAUUAUAUACUUUCAUUCAUGGAGCCUAAUUCAGGAAUUUGUCCAUAGCCAUUAAGUCAAGAUCUCUCCCCAACUUGAUUGCAAAAGAGCUGUAUUCCUGUUCUUAUACAGCAAGGAUCUCAUUUUGAAAAAUACAUGGUCAUUUAGAUGACACAAAUAAAAUAGUGGUUAGGAUUGGAGACCCAACAGGGAGUUGGGAGCCCAAGAGUACUCCCUUCAGUUCCCUAGACUAUUUCAUGCCUCACCUAGAACUGGCAUUUCUAUUGCAGACGCUCCCAGAUGGCCACAUGCCUGCAAUGAGAAUGGACCGAGGAGUGUCUAUGCCCAACAUGUUGGAACCAAAGGCAAGUGCAGCUGUUCUUUUUCCUCUCAUAUGGGAAUGAUGUAACCCUAAAGAGAUUUGAUGUUCUAUCUUCUCAUCAUUCUCAAAGUGUUAUAGGCUGCUGUGUUCAGGUGAGCCAUGUCAUGAAUAUGCACCUUGCCAUUCUGCUGUUUUGCCCACAUCAGGUCAGCAGGUUAAACCCUUACUGGGCAUGAUGCUGUGUGUUUACAGUGAGGUGCCAGUCCCUCUCUGCCUAUGACCGAGGUAUCCCCUUGGCCUCUGCUAUGUGCGUUACAGAGCAUAUCCAGUACUGAGUGGAGUGGCUGCAGACUCACCAUGUAGGGUGACCAACAUAUCCAAGUUUGCCAGAAUUGUCCCUGUUUCACCAUUGAAAGUCCUACAUUUCAAAAACCUCAGUCCUGGGCACACUGGGGUGCCUGGCCACCCUACCUCCAGAGCACCCUGUACCUUCAGAGUUGUCCAAGGGCUCAUGCUCCCCGGUGACCAUAACCAGGGCUUAUUUCAAUAUGGCAGUUGCCAGAGCACUGCUUCUGGGCCUGCCUGGCCCCAUAGAUUCAUGAGCUAGUCAUGGGACAAGAUUGUUAACCCCAGCACAAAUGCACCCUGCCCUAUAACAGCAUCGUAUAAAAGGUAACACGUUGGCUGGGCACAGUGGCUCACGCCUGUAAUCCCAGCACUUUGGAAGGCCAAGGCGGGUAGAUUGCUUGAGUUCAGGAAUUUAAGACCAGCCUGAGCAACAUGGCAAAAUCCCAUCUCUACUAAAACUAUAAAAAAAUUGCUGGACAUGAUGACAUGUGCCUAUAGUCCCAGCUACUCGGGAGGCUAACAUAGGAGGAUCACCUGGGCCUAAUAGGUUGAGGCUGCAGUGAGCUGUGAUCCCACCACUGCAUCCAGCCUGGGCAACAGAGCAAGCCCUGUCUUUAAAAAAAAAAAAAAAACCAACAGAGCAAGCCCUGUCUUAAAAAAAAAAAAAAAAAAACCACAUGCCUGUAAUUUCCAUUAUCUUCUAAUGUUUACCUUCAUCCCAACACAUAGUAAGUUAGUGUUCUGCCACUCAACAAAGGCCCCCUAAGGCUCAGUGCCACCUGAGAUGCUGGUGGAGAGUUGAGCAUGUCUAAGAUUCUGUCCCUGUCCCCUGAAAACUGGAGAUUCCACUGGCCUUGCAGAAGGAAGACCCAUCACUCGGAUUCUGUCAUGACAGUCUCUUGGAAGCUCUAUCUUGGGAGUACUAGAGUUUAGGUGGAUUCUGCUUGUUAAUAAAAUGGACUGUGGUGUUCUAGAAGAGGUGUUUUCUUUCUUCUCAGAUAUUUCCGUAUGAAAUGCUCAUGGUGACCAACAGAGGGCGAAACAAAAUCCUAAGAGAGGUGGACAGAACCAGGCUGGAGCGCCACUUAGCCCCUGAAGUGUUUCGGGAAAUCUUUGGAAUGUCCAUACAGGAGUUUGACAGGUUACCUCUUUGGAGACGCAACGACAUGAAGAAAAAAGCAAAACUCUUCUAAGUCCCACUCGUGAAUGGCAAUUAGAGAAAGGACUGACAGUGGCGGUGCCCCAUAGGAUGUCAUAUUGCGGCCCAAACUUGAUUGGAGAAUUUGCAAACUACCGUCGCUCAGCAACACCAAAAAGAGAAAGUCUGGUUAAAACACCCAUGAGUCAAAUGUUGGGCCAGCCAACAGUAACACUUGCCAAGAAGCAUGGCGUAGAAAUUUCUAUGUUCCGAAACACAGAGUAGUGUCCACAUGUGACCUUUUCACAUUACCUUAUGUAUACAACAGGAGCUGCGUUGUUUUCUUCUUUUUUUUUUUCCUUUAUCUGUUGUCCAACAACAGUGCUGACUGUCCGGAUAAGAGCCAGCAAGUGCCCUUAGGAUGCCGCAUGGGAAAAAUCGGUUAUCAUAAUUUCAAAGUAUAAAUAUAUUUAUUAUAUAGCUCUGCGGCUAAGAAGGAAGAGUGAGGGGUCUGUCCAUGGGGUGGCAGUGAUUUCACAGCUGCCUUUCUUGAAUGGCUUCGUGUUACUCAGCCGUGCCCUGGCAGGAAUGGAACUCCAUCAGGGAACAGGGCAGCUCUGUUUGAAUGGGGUGAAUAACAGCAAAAUUAAUUCUUAACAAGCUCCUUGUUCUCUACUGUUCACCGGGACCUGAUUGGCAAAUGACUUAGCUAUUAGUAUAUUUAAAAACUGUUCAAAAGCAAAAGAGAAGGAACAGGAAUGAAAGGGAGCCUUCCCUUAACCCUUUCUGCUUCCCAUAGCAGGUGUGGUUCCUGCUCCCCGCCUAGGACAGGAGCUGUCUGGAGCUCCACCUUUGCAAAGAAAGGAAAAACACAAAUUGCCUCCAGAUUGGCCCAGUGGCAUGCCAUUAGGUGAUUUUGUGUAGGGGCCAUAUCACUCAUGGCCAAAAAAAACCAAAAACCAAAAACAAGUCCCAUGUCCUACUGACUCUAGUUCUUCCAGUCGUUAUCCUCUGCUGUGUCUCUGGCAUCCUAUGAAUCAGAUCAAGCCCAUGCUGUUGUUGCUUUUUAAGGUUUCUUUCAAUAACAGGCUAAGGAAAGACAUGUUUUUCUCUUUUAAAUCUCUGCAACUCCAAAGUAGACUCCUUCAAACGCAUCUAAUUUGGCCUUUUCAGCUUUCUUCUUGCCCAGCUCUGUCGAAUUCAUGGGUGUGUGUGCACGUGUUGGUUUCACUCACCCAGAGUAAUUUUGUGAGCAUGCAUGUGCUUUUUAAUUUCUGCUUGAAUGUUUGUCCCACUGUGUUGCAGCUUCUAAAGACAUUUUCACCGAGUGUGUGUGACUCAAAGACCAAGAGUGAAGCUAAACUGCGCCCCCAACAUCAUUUCCUUCAUGGAAAGGUGUUGGCGCUGAUGUAGCUCAUGGCAGGAUCAGACUGGGAACCACGGAGGAAGGAUGAGGUGGGAUGUGGAGGUCAGAGCAUCUCACGAGAGGCCCUCAGACUCUGCAACACUAGAUUCGAAUUUGAGCCUAGGGUUUCCCCAACCCAUGCGUGCAUAUGAAACCACAUCAUGAUUCCCGAUGUGAGUUAGUUGAGGGAGAGUUUGUGUAACUCCACACCCAGGAGGGUAAGCCACUUUAUUAUCGUGCUUUGGGGCUGUGCUUAAGAAUUUAAGCUCUGUUUUAAAGCCAAAGAAGAAAACAUUUGAAUUUACCUUCGUAUGCCACUAAGAACAAAAGCUCUGAAGUGCUUCCUGCUGGCACCAAAUAUUAGGAUUACAAGCUGUCCCUCUGACACCAGUGGUAAAAAAGCAAGUAGAAUAGUUUCUGAGUCUGUGUUGCAGCCUCUGACAUGUGGUUCACUGCUGUCAUUUGGGGGCUGGAAUGAACAGUCGCUGUUUUAUAGCAUCCUCCUGUGCUCUUACCUAAGGAAUCUAAAUUGUCCUAGCCUCUCAUUGCUAUGCACUGAAUGUUUGAGGACUAUUCUCGUGUGUGUGUGUGUGUGUGUGUGUGUGUGUGUGUGUUGGAUCUACUAACGUAUUUAGCAAAUGGCUCUGACAGGGUGGCCAUGAGUAGAUGAGACCAGCUCUUGCUUGGUUGGAAGCCACACUGCAGUUUGCAGUUUAGCCUUUGGUGUCUCAGUGGCUUCUUGCUUAUUCCAUGCUUUUUCUGUCCCAUCCUCUCUCUGUGCCCUCCUGCAAUGGCAGCCUUGGCACGAUGCCUGGGUGUCCUCGUCCUUGCUUUACUCCGGAAAGUGUGGGGAUGGAGAGGAUGGUGUAUUUCCAAUGUUUCCUUACCUGUCAAUAACAAUGGUGGCCACAUGGGUCCCAGCACUUGGCUGGUGGAGAGAUUUUUUUCAUUAUGGAGCUAAUAAAGGGUCCCCAUGUUUUACAUUGAUUAAUGAAUUAUCACCCAGACAUGUGCAGAUCAAAUGUCAAUAUAAGAAAAAUCAAGGUAUUUGGGAAACAUGGGCAUAAUCAAGUAGUUUUGCUAAAAUUCCUCUUCCUUGGUCUACAUAAAGAAGACAUGGGUCUGUCAUAGAAUGGGGACAUUAGACUGAAAACUGGGACAACCCCCUUCUUUAUUUUAUAGAGACUAGGAGUUAAGGGGCCUGCCUAAGAUUGCAAUGAUAAAGAACUGAACCCUAAAUCACCUCCCACUAAUGAAACCCUGCUUUGCUUGUAUCUUUUAAACUCAGUUCUGCAUCCAACUUGAGAAGAAAAAAAGUUUCUUUCCAUAUCAAGUCCCAUAUGAGUUCAUUUAAACUGCACCUUGCAGAAAUGCAUCGCCAGAAAGCACCAGUAGCCUCCUAUCUGCAAGCAGAGUAGUGCUCUGCUCUGGGGAAGGGUCAUUGGAAACCAUAAUGCAGAGUGGGCCCCCUACUCCAUUUCCCAGCAGAAGGCUCCAGCUGGAGGGAUGGGUCAUGGGGCAACCUGGUUCCUGCUAACUGCCAGAUCAAAUAUGUGGGCUAGAAUGCCUGUCCAUUUAGUUAAACUGGGCUCAGCAUGCUUGUCCUCAAAAUGUCCAUCCAGGUCACAGCACACAAGAUAGCUAUUGGUCUGCUUUCACCUCACCCUGUACUACACAUAAAAAUUCCAGUUAUUAACACACUCAAACUAGUGGAGCUUGUUCACCCUAGGAAGGGGAUUGUAUAUAUGGCAGGCUUCCCUGGUGCCUACGUAAAGGGCUACAUUUUGGAAUGUUUGACUUCCUUGGGACUCUUAAGUGCAUACUGAUGGCAUGAAGUAAAAGGGGCCUCUAUGAUGAUAGGAAAAUCAGUUCUUUUAAAAUUUCUUCAAGAAAAUCCAGGCUAUCACAUAGUCCUUCUGUGUGACUUAUUAGGAGAUAGGAAGAGCAUUGGGAAACUUGCACAGCUAGCUAUGCAUCUACAUUUUGGCUGGGGUUAGUUAUGAAAUGUUCUUAAUAUGACAUGUUCAAUAACUUCACAUAAACUGCCUGUUCUCCGAAACCUCAAAGAGAUAGAGUUAAUGAGUUUUUUUUUUUGUUUGUUUGUUUUUUAAUGGGGGUAGUUUUCUAUCUGUCAUGGGCUCUAGCAUCUACUCCGCUACCCAAUUCUGUCAUCUCCAAGCCGAGUUUCCUCUUCUGAGGCAGAGGCUGGAGCAGUUCUUUUUCAGUUCUCAUCCUCUCCAUCCCAAUCCAGUAUAUCAAUCAACUCUAACUCGGAGACGUCUAGCUGGUAAUGUUUCUAAAACUUUCACUGGAUUUCUUUAGACAUUGAAGCAAACAUUUUUUUCUAAGAAUUGCUUCUCAGAUGAUGAUAUCAAAUGUAUAUGCUUUUGCAAGUUUGAAAAAUUCAAAUUAACCGCUUUUGACUAGGUAAGUCUUUCUAAAAACCAUUUAAAGCUAACUGGGUCUUAGCAUCCUCCUGUGUAUGGAAGAGACAGGUGACCGCUCCAGGUUGGGUGCUCACAGAACCCUUUUCCUGACUCUCAUGGAAGAUGGUGGAAGGAAAAUAGACUGUCUCAUCAACCCUCCUGUGUCCUCUGAAGCAAUCUCAGUUUCUAUAUACCACCUCUUCUGUGUUUCUGGUAGCUAUUUAAUCUGUAUUUAAUCUGUACUUCUUAUGCCAGCCUCAAUUUUAUUUGAUUUUUAAAAUUAUUCUCUUCUAACCAAUGAAGUGUUUGACAGUAUGCCCCAAAGCUUGCUCUUUUGUGCUCCUUUUUGAAUAACUUUCUAUCCAGAAAAAGAAAUUAUUUGGGACUUGAGAUUUGCAGUGAUACCAACUUAUAGCAAUGAUGUACUUUAAGGGAACUACCCAACUAUGUUGUGAUAGGAGAAAGAGAAACCUUCACUUUGGCAUUUUCUUAAAUCACUGUUUAUUUUUCCGUUUGCUGCCCAGGAAGCAGUGGGAGGUGGUGGCAGAUAUGCUUUGCAUAUGGAUUGUUAUGUUUUUAUUUGGGCAAGUUUAAUCAUGGAAAACUCAAAAAGAAGGGGGGAAAUGGUCAGUUUAAGCCAAAAGAAACUUUCUAAACAAUGUAUAUGUACACAGCAAAAUUAAACAAAUCCAACAAUUUCUGAAGCUUAGUGUAAUUGAGUGGUGGUUGUUAUUCAAUAAAAUUAUUCCCAAAAGUGUUUCUCCUAAGAGUGCUGUUCCCAUGAGUCACUUCCUGAACCCAUUGACCAAAGGUGGACAGAGACAAUCCUGUAGACCUUGACAUUCAGAAAGAUGUGAGCUGCUUACUGAUCAUAUAUGCAUACGUUUCUUUACAGCAGAGGAAACCAUUGUCCACAAAACUGAUGUUCUUUUGGGGUUUUAUGUACAGACUUGUCCAAUCAUGUGUGUGGUUCCUGUGAGUUGCUGAUGACUCUGCAUUGAAGCUCUCUGAGUUCUUUCAUUUUAAGUUGGGUUUAUGGAAUUUUUUCAAAUGUUGGAAGGCAUAUGGUGCUUCCUGCCCUCCCUCCCCUUUUGGAAAUAUGAAAGCAAAUGUUUAGAAGAAUUCCUUUUGAAAAGCUGUGUUGUGUUCCCUGUGAAACUGAGCAGGUGUGUGUUGGCGCGCUAAGUGCCACGUGCUUGUGUGCAGAGGAGGAGGUGGCCCUGCCGGCUCCGUGCUGCUGUGCCUGUGAUCCCUACCUGCUCCCCGCUCCUGUUGCCAGCAGCACUCACUGCACUCCUUUGUCAAAUACUCUGCAUCACUGUCAUACUCACAACUUCGUGAAUAAAGUUGUGUGCUUUAUUCGUA